AUGGAUAUAAAUCAAACAUUUACAGAUCAACUUAAUAAGGAAGUCUGCAGCUGUGAUGUGGAAGAGCCCACCCCAGAGGAAGAAAGCAAUCGAAAUGCAAAAGCUUCAAAAUUGGCAGCCACAAGGCAAGAUGUUGCUUUUAAUUAUUGGAAGACAGUAUUAGGGGAAAAUAUGAUGCCUGCACUGAAGAAACAACAUAGUAAAAAUGAUCAUACUCUGGAAGAUCUGGGCUUCAAGGACCUCACGCUGCAGUCACAAGGGCCCCUGGAGCCGUCCCUUUCCAAGCCCGGAGUGCCCCAGGACCUUGGAGGGGCGAAGCCCGAUGGAGUGCCUGAGCCCCCACCGGUGGGCUGGCAGUGCCCCAGGUGCACAUUCGUCAACAAGCCCACCCAUCCCGGCUGCGAGAUGUGUUGCUGUUCACGGCCUGAAGCCUACCAGGUGCCUGCCUAGUACCGGCCUGACGAGGAGGAGCGUGCCCGCCUGGCUGGUGAAGAGGAGGCACUACGUCAGUACCAGCAGCAGAAACAGCAGCAGCAGGAGGGGAACGUGCAGCUGGAGCAGAGGAGCCUGGUGCUGAAUGCCGAGCCCGCUGAGUGCCCUGUGUGCUACGCGGCGCUGGCACCUGGCCAGGCGGUGGUCCUGCGGGAGUGUCUGCACAUCUUCUUCAGGGAGUGUCUGCAGGGCACGAUCUGCAAUAGCCAGGAGGCGGAGGUCUCCUGUCCCUUCAUUGACGACACCUACUCGUGCCCGGGCAAGCUGCUGGAGAGGGAGAUUCGGGCGCUCCUGUCCCCUGAGGAUUACCAGCGCUUCUUGGACCUGAGCGUUUCCAUCGCAGAAAACCGCAGUGCUUUCAGCUACCACUGCAAGACCUCAGACUGCAAGGGCUGGUGCUUCUUUGAGGACGAUGUCAAUGAGUUCACCUGCCCUGUGUGUUUCCGCGUUAACUGCCUCCUCUGCAGGGCCAUCCAUGAGCGCAUGAACUGCAAGGAGUAUCAGGACGAUCUGGCACUGCGGACUCAGAACGACUUGGCUGCCUGGCAGACCACAGAGAUGCUAUAGGUGAUGCUGCAGCAGGGUGAGGCCAUGCACUGCCCGCGCUGCCAGAUCGUGGUGCAGAACAAGGAUGGCUGUGACUGAAUCCGCUGCACUGUCUGCCACACUGAGAUCUGCUGGGUCACCAAGGGCCCUCGCUGGGGCCCCAGGGGCCCAGGGGACACCACUGGGGGCUGCCACUGUCGAGUGAAUGGAAUUCCUUGCCACCCAAGCUGUCAAAACUGCCACUGAGCUGAAGAUGGCUGGGUCCCCACAGGAACUCUCAUUCAUAGGCAGGAAUAGGCAAGGCUGGGUUUAGGGCACUGGCUGUGGUUUUUGGCUUAUGUGACAUCCCUGUGAUUGGCUGAGGCUAGGUGUCCUGCCCUGUGCAGCUGCUGCCUGUGCC